rnacentral:rRNA from 1 species
UGCAGUCGUACGAGAGUUUUAAACUCAAGUGGCGGACGGGUGAGUAACACGUAAGAAUUUACCUUUAGGAGGGGGACAACAGACAGAAAUGACUGCUAAUACCCCAUAUGCUUUCGAGUGAAAUGGAUUUUUCCGCCUAGAGAGAAGCUUGCGGCUGAUUAGCUUGUUGGUAAGGUAAUGGCUUACCAAGGCGACGAUCAGUAUCUGGUUUGAGAGGAUGAUCAGACACACUGGAACUGAGACACGGUCCAGACUCCUACGGGAGGCAGCAGUGGGGAAUUUUCCGCAAUGGGCGAAAGCCUGACGGAGCAAUCUCGCGUGAGGGAUGACUGCCUAUGGGUUGUAAACCUCUUUUUUCAGGGAGGAAUAAAUGACGUGUACCUGAGGAAUAAGCAUCGGCUAACUCCGUGCCAGCAGCCGCGGUAAGACGGAGGAUGCAAGUGUUAUCCGGAAUCACUGGGCGUAAAGCGUCUGUAGGUGGUCAAAUAAGUCAACUGUUAAAUCUUGAGGCUCAACCUCAAAAUCGCAGUCGAAACUAUUAGACUAGAGUAUAGUAGGGGUAAAGGGAAUUUCCAGUGGAGCGGUGAAAUGCGUAGAGAUUGGAAAGAACACCGAUGGCGAAGGCACUUUACUGGGCUAUUACUAACACUCAGAGACGAAAGCUAGGGUAGCAAAUGGGAUUAGAUACCCUGGUAGUCCCCU